GCGGGUGUAGUAUAACGGCUAUUACGCUACCUUGCCAAGGUAGAGAAGGGGGUUCGACUCCCCUCACCCGCU
rnacentral:tRNA from 1 species